UACGUAGGGGGCAAGCGUUGUCCGGAAUCAUUGGGCGUAAAGAGCGUGUAGGCGGUUCGGUAAGUCGGCUGUGAAAGUCCAGGGCUCAACCCCGGGCCUGCAUUCGAUACGGGCAGACUAGAGUUCGGUAGGGGAGUCUGGAAUUCCUGGUGUAGCGGUGAAAUGCGCAGAUAUCAGGAGGAACACCGGUGGCGAAGGCGGGACUCUGGGCCGAUACUGACGCUGAGGAGCGAAAGCGUGGGGAGCAAACAGG
rnacentral:rRNA from 1 species